CCUACGGGAGGCAGCAGUGGGGAAUAUUGCGCAAUGGGCGAAAGCCUGACGCAGCGACGCCGCGUGAGGGAUGAAGGUCUUCGGAUUGUAAACCUCUUUCAGCAGGGAAGAACGGUCACUGUGCUAAUCAGCAGUGAAUUGACGGUACCUGCAAAGGAAGCACCGGCUAACUCCGUGCCAGCAGCCGCGGUAAUACGGAGGGUGCGAGCGUUAAUCGGAAUUACUGGGCGUAAAGCGCUCGUAGGCGGUAUGUCAAGUCAAGGGUGAAAUCCCCGCGCUCAACGUGGGAACUGCCUUUGAUACUGGCAAACUGGAGUGUGUGAGAGGAUAGUGGAAUUCCAGGUGUAGGAGUGAAAUGCGUAGAUAUCUGGAGGAACAUCAGUGGCGAAGGCGACUAUCUGGCACAUAACUGACGCUGAGGAGCGAAAGCGUGGGUAGCAAACAGGAUUAGAUACCCGAGUAGUC
rnacentral:rRNA from 1 species